GGGCAGCCCAGCUCAGUGGCUUGAAGCCCGAGGUGAGGAGAGCAUCCAUGUGGGUACAGCCUGGGCGGGUGUCCUGCAGGGUCAGAAGAUCUGCCAGAAAACAGGACUCCUGCUGGACUCGAGGAGGAACCCUAGACGAUGGGAUCCUGGAAUCCAGUCUGGCGUUGUGGCUCCUGCUGUCGCCAGCCAUUCCCUAUGCUCAAAACACAACCCCCACCCCCCUGCGCGAAAACGAAAAAACAAAGAAAUCAGGGCAAAGCCCUCUGUCAGAGGCCCACAGGGGUAAUCGUGCCCCCCACUCUGCUCUUCUCGCCAGAGGAGUGUGCGCUGCCGCUGUUUUGGUUCAGAGGGGCGAGCAUCGCUCUCGGCCAUCGCCUGUGGCUGGCACGCUCGCUCUUCCAAUAAACAGCCCAGCUGCUUUCCUUCCCAUUUGUCUCACUCCCACCCAGUGUAAAAUUUUAAACGGCACAAAUAAUGGGCGGCCGUGCCCCGGCAGGCUAGUUUUGAAGGCGGCAACACAGAGCUGUGGAAAGAAUUCCAGAUGCUGUUUCUGGGAGCAGAGGUGUGGUGGUCCCAGCUCUGCCUCAAGCUGUGCAUGGCCCUUUGGGGUCCCUCACCCCUGGGGGCCUCAGACUUCUCGCCUGUAACCAACCUGGAGGCCCUCGCACGGUUGCCGGGAGGAUGACUUGACGUAACAUCUGCGGGCUCCAUCGCUCUUCCCCAUGGCCUGAGCUGCAGUGGGUGGGCCAGGUAGCACAGUGGAGGGGACGGGCCCUGAGCGUGGGUGAGGAUGGCAUUGGAGGAGGCCAGCGAGGAGUCCAGGGGAGCAGAUCGGGGUUGGGGGCAGGCAAGACUUGGGCCAAAGGUGGAGGACAGAGAAAGGGAGCGGGACUGAAGGGACCGUCAGAGCAGGUGGGGACAUGAAGAGUGGGAGGGAAACCGAUGCAGAGGCUGGAGUGCCUGGAGCUGGCUGUGUGGCUCAGCCAUGCGGUCAUCCCUGCCAGCCCCCUUCACCAGGCCAGUGCCCCACACCCCACACCUGAGCGGGGCUGCUCCGGGGCACAGCCCUGGCACACACAGUGUCACACCUGUCCUGAGACUUGCCCUUGGGCCGUGGGAGUCCAUGGUUGCCCCUCCCCCUUCCUCCCCCGGACAGCACUUCAAAAUGACUGUCCCAUAUGGGGCCCAAAAGGCUGGUCCCCGUGCCAGAUGAAUUUUGGGGGGACACCUUCAGUCUCUGGACUUUCACGUGGGGUAACAAACCCGAGUGUGUCCGAGCGUCUGUGGUCGGGUUGCCGGCACUGGAGAUGAACCUCAUCCUGGCUGACAGUCUUUGCUGCCCCCGACUCUCCUGUCCACGGGGAGGUCCACCUUUGUCAUAUUU
rnacentral:lncRNA from 1 species